GAUGAACGCUGGCGGCGUGCCUCAAACAUGCAAGUCGAGCGAGGCUAUGAAUUACCGCAAGGUAAGGCAUAGCCUAGCGGCGAACGGGUGAGUAACACGUGGGUAACCUACCUGGAAGACAGGGAUAACGAUUCGAAAGGGUCGCUAAUACCUGAUAAUAUCCAUCUGCCGGAUGGCGGAGGGAAGAAAGGGGAAACCCGCUUUCAGAUGGGCCCGCGUCCCAUCAGCUAGUUGGUAAGGUAAAGGCUUACCAAGGCGACGACGGGUAGCCGGUCUGAGAGGAUGUACGGCCACACUGGGACUGAGAUACGGCCCAGACUCCUACGGGAGGCAGCAGUUGGGAAUCUUAGGCAAUGGGCAAAGCCUGAUGGAGCGACGCCGCGUGAGCGAAGAAGGCCUUCGGGUUGUAAAGCUCUGUCUGGAGGGACGAAGGAAGUGACGGUACCUCCGGAGGAAGCCACGGCUAACUACGUGCCAGCAGCCGCGGUAAGAUCACGUGUA
rnacentral:rRNA from 1 species